AUUGAACGCUGGCGGCAUGCCUUACACAUGCAAGUCGAACGGUAACGCGGGGCAACCUGGCGACGAGUGGCGAACGGGUGAGUAAUGCAUCGGAACGUGCCCAGUAGUGGGGGAUAGCCCGGCGAAAGCCGGAUUAAUACCGCAUACGACCUACGGGUGAAAGGGGGGGAUCGCAAGACCUCUCGCUAUUGUACCGGCCGAUGUCAGAUUAGGUAGUGGGUGGGGUAAAAGCCUACCAAGCCGACGAUCUGUAGCUGGUCUGAGAGGACGACCAGCCACACUGGGACUGAGACACGGCCCAGACUCCUACGGGAGGCAGCAGUGGGGAAUUUUGGACAAUGGGGGAAACCCUGAUCCAGCCAUGCCGCGUGCGGGAAGAAGGCCUUCGGGUUGUAAACCGCUUUUGUCAGGGAAGAAACGCUCUGGGCUAAUACCUUGGAGUAAUGACGGUACCUGAAGAAUAAGCACCGGCUAACUACGUGCCAGCCGCCGCCGUAA
rnacentral:rRNA from 1 species